ACCUUCAUCUUAAAACUAGACAAGAGUAUUCUAGAAUGAUGUAGUUCAGUUGGGCUUUUUAUCUCUGACUCCAAAAGACAUGGCCAAGCAAUCUGAUUCACUCUCUCAGUCCAACUGCUGCUUUUUCAAGCGGUGAUAGGGACUUAGUGAAGGCUACACCAAUGUCUAUAAAAAUCAGUCUUUCUUAUUGACCUCUCAGACUUCUCUAGGAACAGCCAGGUUUCUCUGGCAUCAUUUGAAGAAGGAAAUGAUACUGACACAGCUGAUUCAGCCUAACAAGGUGGAAUGCAGUUUUUCUGCCUAAAGUCCAUGCUAUCCUGGAAAGAAUGGAGUUGUCGUGCACACCUCAACAAGCGUUUUAGUGAGCAGAGGCCAUUUUGCUUCUGAAGUGGACACAAAAGACCUGUUUGAAGAUGCCCUGAAAUAAGAGACAUAGAUUCACACUGUUCUCUUUUCCUCACAAUAAUGAAAGAGAGAGAGAGAGUUCAUCUCAAGAUGACAUUAAGGGGCAAUAGGAUGAACUGUCUCGUGCAUCUGCAGUCACGCCUUUCCAUGACGAUGGAUCUGCACCACACUUUCCCAAUAAAAGCUGAAGAUAAGA